GCUUCCGUGGUCCAAUCUGGAUAAAUUGUUUAGGGAAUCAAAAUUGUUUUCGUAGCAGUUACAGCAAAGACCUUGGCUUGCGGAGCCAAUAAUCCGGGUUCGAAUCCCGGCGGAAGCG
rnacentral:tRNA from 1 species